rnacentral:rRNA from 1 species
GACGAACGCUGGCGGCGUGCCUAAUACAUGCAAGUAGAACGCAGGAGGGGGAGCUUGCUUCUUCUGAUGAUUUGCGAACGGGGGAGUAUCGCGUAGGGAACCCGCCUCUUAGCGGGGGAGAACUCUUCGAAACGAUGUCUAAUACCGCAGAACAUUAUAUGUUGCAUGACAUUUGCUUAAAAGAUGCAAUUUCAUCACUACUAGAUGGUGCUGCGUUGUAUUAGCUAGUUGGUGAGGUAACGGCUCACCAAGGCGACGAUACAUAGCCGACCUGAGAGGGUGAUCGGCCACACUGGAACUGAGACACGGCCCAGACUCCUACGGGAGGCAGCAGUAGGGAAUCUUCGGCAAUGGGCGGAAGUCUGACGGAGCAACGCCGCGUGAGUGAUGAAGGUUUUCGGAUCGUAAAGCUCUGUUAUUAGGGAAGAACAUAUGUGAAAGUGGAAAGUUAAAUCUUGGAGGGAAUCUUACAAAAAGGGAAGGCUUAAUUCGUU